rnacentral:rRNA from 1 species
UUCUUUACUGCUUUCCAUAAGAGUGAAGUGAACCUCUCGGGCGUCAACUCUGCUUUCAUCACACUGCUGCCAAAGAAAGAUACACCGCUGGAGAUACGUGAUUUCAGGCCGAUCUCUCUCGUGCAUAGCUUACCUAAGUUGGCAUCGAAGGUUCUGGCU